GAUGAAGAACGUAGCGAAAUGCGAUAAGUAAUGUGAAUUGCAGAAUUCAGUGAAUCAUCGAAUCUUUGAACGCACAUUGCGCCCGCCAGUAUUCUGGCGGGCAUGCCUGUUCGAGCGUCAUUACAACUCUCAGGCCCCCGGGCCUGGCGUUGGGGAUCGGCGGAAGCCCCCUGUGGGCACACGCCGUCCCUCAAAUACAGUGGCGGUCCCGCCGCAGCUUCCAUUGCGUAGUAGCUAACACCUCGCAACUGGAGAGCGGCGCGGCCAUGCCGUAAAACACCCAACUUCUGAAUGUUGACCUCGAAUCAGGUAGGAAUACCCGCUGAACUUAAGCAUAUCAAUAAGCGGAGGA
rnacentral:misc_RNA from 1 species